rfam:Burkholderia sp. TSV86 TSV86_115, whole genome shotgun sequence.
CGCGUAUUUCGCGCAGGCGGAACUCGACCGCCGACCGAAAUGAUGGUCUCGUUCAUCGACGAGCAGCGCGCAUCGCACGGUGUCGAGUCGAUCUGCAGGGUGCUGUCGAUCGCGCCG